CCCAUUUGAGUCAUGUUGUUAAAUAGGUUAAUAGAAUUUUUUACGACGUUAAUGUUCCGUUUAUCUGCUCUGUUAGAACAAAACAAUGUCGUUUAUUACAGAGACAAACGACGUCGUUUUAUCUGUUGAAACAAAUUUUAAACCCUAAAUCCCCAAAUCGAUUUCAUUAUCUCAAAUCCUAUAGAGGCCGAAUCGAUUUGAAUCCCAUCUGGUGAGGAGACAAACAAUGUUCCUCAGCCCAAAUCAAAUCGAAAAAAAAAAAGAAAAAACGGAAGAAGGAAGUUGAAGUAGAUGACAUCGUUUUGUUUUAAUAGAGAAAAUAAACGAGACAUUAACGCCGUAAAAUAUUUUUGAUAACCUAUUUAACGACAUGACUGAAAUGGC